rnacentral:piRNA from 1 species
UUGACAUACGCUGUCUCUUUGAAGACAAAGGU